ACCCUCUCAGGGUCACACCUGGAGAGUUUUUAGGACUCUACCAGUCUCGAUACAGGAGGGAGAGUCAAGCAGAGGCCUAACCAUUCCACUCCUAGCUUGGUCAGUGGCUAGCAAGUGGAAGGCAAUCUGCUACAAGU
rnacentral:snoRNA from 1 species